rnacentral:snRNA from 1 species
AGAGACUAUUGAUGGAGAUGCUCU